CUGUACUGAGUGCUUCGAGGGGUCAAGGCACUCAGUAAAUGUUUAAAUAUAUUAAAAAAAAAAUUAACCCCCUCCCUCCCCAUGUACUUACCGAUCACCACCGUUCCCCCACCAGCGAUUGGUCUUCUUCUGAGGGGGACUGUCUGGGCUGACUCCCAAUUUAGGACCCCAAGGGGCCGUGUGACGGCUCUAAAAGAUGUACACCAUAAAACCUGUACAAGGUGGGUAUUAUUAUACUCGGGAGACUUCGCUGAACACAAAUAUGAGUGUUUAAAACAGUAAAACUUAUCACAACGAUGAAAUCGCCAGUAAAAGUGCAGUUUUUGUGUAAAUAAAAUGCAAAACACAAAUAGAAAUGCUAACUUUGGCCAGCGUUUGUGGCUAAGUGGCUACUAAAAAGACUGGACAUACCCCAUUUUGAAUACCGUGGGUUGUCUACUUUUAGAAAUGGUAUGCCAUGAUGGGGUUAAUUUUUAUCCCUGGGCUGCCAAACGGUCUCAAACACAACAUAGGCCCAGCAAACCAAUCUGGCAAAUUUCAAUGUGCAAACAUGGAAAAGGGGAAAGCCCUACAUUUGACCCCUGUAAGUUUGCAAAAACCCAUAAAACCUGUACAUUGGAGCACUGUUGUACUCGGGAGAUAUUGCUGAACACAUACACCCAAAAGUUUGACAGAGACUGGUGGUAGUAUUAGUGCAUUGAAAGUGUAAUAAUACCACCAUUUGAAAUACCCUAGGGUGUCUACUUUUCAAAAAUAUGGGUAAAUUACAUUGGCCGGCUUCAAAAAUGUCCCAAAGUUGGAAAACUGCAAUGCGCACCCUCUAAAUAAGGUCUUUUAGCCCCCAGAGAACCUGACACACCUAUACAUGGGGGGUAUCACUGUAGAUGUUGCUUCUUUGGCAGUAACCCUUAAAGUUCUCCGUACAUGUAUUUUUAAAUUGCUAUGUGUGCCAAAAAAAAUCACAAAUUAUUUUUUUUUUUCAUUUGGCAUAGAUUGAUGGUAAAAUGGUUGCAUGAAAAGAGUCAAAAUACCCC